rnacentral:rRNA from 1 species
GGAUGAACGCUGGCGGCGUGCCUAAUACAUGCAAGUCGAGCGAACAGACGAGGAGCUUGCUCCUCUGACGUUAGCGGCGGACGGGUGAGUAACACGUGGAUAACCUACCUAUAAGACUGGGAUAACUUCGGGAAACCGGAGCUAAUACCGGAUAACAUGUUGAACCGCAUGGUUCAACAGUGAAAGACGGUCUUGCUGUCACUUAUAGAUGGAUCCGCGCCGCAUUAGCUAGUUGGUAAGGUAACGGCUUACCAAGGCAACGAUGCGUAGCCGACCUGAGAGGGUGAUCGGCCACACUGGAACUGAGACACGGUCCAGACUCCUACGGGAGGCAGCAGUAGGGAAUCUUCCGCAAUGGGCGAAAGCCUGACGGAGCAACGCCGCGUGAGUGAUGAAGGUCUUCGGAUCGUAAAACUCUGUUAUUAGGGAAGAACAAAUGUGUAAGUAACUAUGCACGUCUUGACGGUACCUAAUCAGAAGGCCACGGCUAACUACGUG